rnacentral:rRNA from 1 species
UUACAUAACGGAGGAAAGAAACCAACCGGGAUUGCCUUAGUAGCGGCGAGUGAAGCGGCAAGAGCUCAAUUUGAAAUCUAGUACCUUUGGUGCUCGAGUUGUAAUUUGUAGAGUAGUGCCUUGGGGCCGUUCCUUGCCUAUGUUCCUUGGAACAGGACGUCAUGGAGGGUGAGAACCCCGUGUGGCGAGGGGUGCGGUUCUGUGUAAGGCCUGCUCGAAGAGUCGAGUUGUUUGGGAAUGCAGCUCUAAGUGGGUGGUAAAUUCCAUCUAAAGCUAAAUACAGGCGAGAGACCGAUAGCGAACAAGUACAGUGAUGGAAAGAUGAAAAGAACUUUGAAAAGAGAGUGAAAAAGUACGUGAAAUUGUUGAAAGGGAAGGGCAUUUGAUCAGACAUGGUGUUUUGCGCCCCCUGCUCCUUGUGGGUGGGGGAAUCUCGCAGCUCACUGGGCCAGCAUCAGUUUUGGCGGCUGGAUAAAUCCGGAGGAAUGUGGCUUCUCUCGGGAAGUGUUAUAGCCUGCGGGAAUACGGCCAGCCGGGACUGAGGAACGCGACGCAAGUCAAGAUCUGCUAAAUGUAUAUUC